CAUACCUAUUCGAAGGGAUAGGGUCGGUUUGGCCGGAUUUCACACAGGUGUUGCAUGGCUGUCGUCAGCUCGUGUCGUGAGAUGUUGGGUUAAGUCCCGCAACGAGCGCAACCCUCAUCCUUAGUUACCAUCAGGUUAUGCUGGGGACUUUAAGGAAACUGCCAGUGAUAAACUGGAGGAAGGUGGGGAUGAUGUCAAGUCAUCAUGGCCCUUAUGGGGUGGGCUACACACGUGCUACAAUGGUGUCUACAAUGGGUUGCAAGGUGCGCAAGCCUAAGCUAAUCCCUAAAAGACAUCUCAGUUCGGAUUGUACUCUGCAACUCGAGUACAUGAAGUUGGAAUCGCUAGUAAUCGUGGAUCAGCAUGCCACGGUGAAUACGUUCUCGGGUCUUGUACACACUGCCCGUCACGCCAUGGGAUUGGUUUCACUCGAAGCU
rnacentral:rRNA from 1 species